AGCACAGAGAAGCUUGCUUCUUGGGUGGCGAGUGGCGAACGGGUGAGUAAUAUAUCGGAACGUACCGAGUAAUGGGGGAUAACUAAUCGAAAGAUUAGCUAAUACCGCAUAUUCUCUGAGGAGGAAAGCAGGGGACCUUCGGGCCUUGCGUUAUUCGAGCGGCCGAUAUCUGAUUAGCUAGUUGGUGGGGUAAAGGCCUACCAAGGCGACGAUCAGUAGCGGGUCUGAGAGGAUGAUCCGCCACACUGGGACUGAGACACGGCCCAGACUCCUACGGGAGGCAGCAGUGGGGAAUUUUGGACAAUGGGCGCAAGCCUGAUCCAGCCAUGCCGCGUGUCUGAAGAAGGCCUUCGGGUUGUAAAGGACUUUUGUCAGGGAAGAAAAGGCUGUUGCUAAUAUCGACAGCUGAUGACGGUACCUGAAGAAUAAGCACCGGCUAACUACGUGCCAGCAGCCGCGGUAAUACGUAGGGUGCGGGCGUUAAUCGGAUUUACUGGGCGUAAAGCGAGCGCAGACGGUUACUUAAGCAGGAUGUGAAAUCCUCGGGCUCAACCUGGGAACUGCGUUCUGAACUGGGUGACUAGAGUGUGUCAGAGGGAGGUAGAAUUCCACGUGUAGCAGUGAAAUGCGUAGAGAUGUGGAGGAAUACCGAUGGCGAAGGCAGCCUCCUGGGAUAACACUGACGUUCAUGCUCGAAAGCGUGGGUAGCAAACAGGAUUAGAUACCCUGGUAGUCCACGCCCUAAACGAUGUCAAUUAGCUGUUGGGCAACUUGAUUGCUUAGUAGCGUAGCUAACGCGUG
rnacentral:rRNA from 1 species